AGUGCAUCAGAAGGGACAGUACACAUCUUUCAUUCCCACCAUUCUUUGUGAAGAGGAAUCCAAAUGUUCUUUGGCCUGAUCGAGUUCUUAUGGGUGCCUUGAGCCAUCCUAGGAGGCAUCCCAAGUAACAACAUUAAGAACGUAUAAAUGUUUGAACUGUGCAGACUUCUUCUUGUGAGAAAAAAAGCCUGCAGCCAAUGAGAUAGAAAUGGAGAGAAGGGCAAUAGCAGCUUGCACAUGUCAAGGAUCUGCAGCACAUGAAACCCCUUAAACUGAAGAUGAUGUUCCUGAAGCCUAGAGAUGUCAGCACUCGCAGUCAGCCGCUUUAUCAUCCAUUGCUCCAUUAACCUCAUCCAUCUGGUCAACACAAUUCAAACAUACCAGUUAAAACAGAUAUGGGUGCAAGUCAUGACACUUUUACAGAUUAAAGAUGUCCGAGAUUCACGAUGAAUGCUGUUUGAAGAAGAAUGAACAGAAUCACAUUUUAAUUUAAUCUCACUGCCAAUGUGGACUUAAAGAGGACAGGCUCUUGUUAUGACAACUGUAUUUUUAAGUAACAGAGAUAAGGGUGUUAUUGGAAUCAUUUCAAUAAAAUAUGGGAGUACCGGUACAUACCAGUUUGAUAUCUUGAUUAGACUGGGACUUAAACAAAAAUGGUAGAUAUUGGACCUCUCUAAUACACAUUAUAAACAUCUCAUGUCUUAAGUCAAUAACAAAGCUGUAAUAAGGCGAUAUUUAGUGUAAUUAACACUUAGGGCUAUUCUUCUAAAACAUAUAACCACCGGGUUUGGCAGAUUUUUAAUAAUAUAUGGUUGGGCUUUUUUGCUAAUUUGCACCCCAAAAGGCACAUUUGCUUUUGUAUGGGGUUGGCAUAAAAACUUAAUAAAUGCCUUCCCUCCAGUGGUUAUAUUUUUAAAUGGAAUAGCCCUUAUCAACAUUUUUAGCUGGACUAUUUGAAUAAUAAGGAGGGUUAUACCACUCGCCUCAGCAUCUGCUUUGGCUUUAGCGUCCGGUUAAAGUUUAAGACCAAGUUGGGAUUUUCACUCAUAACUGCAAAACCCUUCAUUAAAGUCACUUAAUACUCCAUACAGUUGUUCAGGGCCAUUACAUAAUGAUGUUAAUACUUCAAUAGCCUUCAUUCAAUGGACUUAAUACCUUGCACAAUUAAUGAUGAACAUCUUACAAUAAGGUGACAUAACUCCAUUUUAACUAAAUACAAAUUAUUGCCCUUUUUUCAUUUUUAUUUCUUAUGUCAGGCACAUUUAUAUAUUCUUAACAGGGUUUUUGAAAGCUAAUUGUUUGGGCGGGCUGGUGGAAGGGUCUUCAAAGUCACCUUAUGUGUAAAAUAAUUUUAGCUAGGUUUGACAUAUAGUGACCAAACUUCGUAUGUAGGAAGCGUUUAUGAAGACCUUUCAUGAGAUUGCGUUUUAGGCUUCUGGGAUCAAUAUAAAGGUCAAAGUUACUAUUAAAAGCAAAAGAACUGGUAUUGAUUAACUUAAAGGUCGACAUAUUGUGACCAAACUUGGUUUAUAUGAAAGUUCAUACAGACUUUUUUAUUGUGUUUUGGUUAUGAUCUAGGUCAAAGUCAGUAUUGCUGAAAAGUACAAAUAUAGUUAGUACUGAAUAAGUAAGGGGUGACAAUGUGUGACCAAACUUGGUAUAUAUGACAAGUUAAUGGAGAGCUUUCAUUCGAAUGCCUUGGGCCCCUUAGGGUCAAUGUCAAUGUUACUAAAAAAAUAUUACUUUUUGGUACUGAAUAACCUAAGUUAUGGUUGAUAUACUGUGACCAAACUUGAUAUAUAGGAAGAGUUUAUUGAGAACUUUCAUGAGAUUGUGUUUUGGGCGCAUAGGAUCUAGGUCACUGUUACAAAAAUAGUAGACAGCAGUUGAAACUGAACUUCUUCUGCCAAUCAUUAACAAAACAACUAUUGUCACA